rnacentral:rRNA from 1 species
CAGUCGCCGCGGUAAUACGUAGGGUGCAAGCGUUGUCCGGAAUUAUUGGGCGUAAAGAGCUCGUAGGCGGUUUGUCGCGUCUGCUGUGAAAACUGGAGGCUCAACCUCCAGCCUGCAGUGGGUACGGGCAGACUAGAGUGCGGUAGGGGAGAUUGGAAUUCCUGGUGUAGCGGUGGAAUGCGCAGAUAUCAGGAGGAACACCGAUGGCGAAGGCAGAUCUCUGGGCCGUAACUGACGCUGAGGAGCGAAAGCGUGGGGAGCGAACAGGAUUAGAUACCCCGGUAGUCCCUGUCUCUUAUAC